UACGUAGGGUGCAAGCGUUAUCCGGAAUUAUUGGGCGUAAAGAGCUCGUAGGCGGUUUGUCGCGUCUGCUGUGAAAACCGGAGGCUCAACCUCCGGCCUGCAGUGGGUACGGGCAAACUAGAGUGCGGUAGGGGAGAUUGGAAUUCCUGGUGUAGCGGUGGAAUGCGCAGAUAUCAGGAGGAACACCGAUGGCGAAGGCAGUGUUCUGGGCCAGUACUGACGCUGAGGAGCGAAAGCGUGGGGAGCAAACAGG
rnacentral:rRNA from 1 species